GUGCUCGCUUCGGUAACACAUAUACUAAAAUUGUAAAAAUACAGAGAAGAAUAGCAUGGCUCCUGUGCAAGGAUGACACACAAACUCAUGAAGCGUUCCAUAUUUUC